rnacentral:rRNA from 1 species
GACGAACGCUGGCGGCGUGCUUAACACAUGCAAGUCGAACGAAGUGGCGAACGGGUGAGUAAUACGUGAGUACCCUUCCCUCCUUUUUGGGAUAAGCCUUGGAAACGGGGUCUAAAACCGGAUAAAGAGGGAUGGGCUCGCGGCCUAGCAGCUUGUGGGUGGGUUGAUGGCGUAACAAGGCGGUGCCGGGUAGCCGGCGUGAGAGGGUGCCCGGGCACAUGGGGACGGGGAUACGGCCCAGAGUCCUACGGGAGGGAGCAGUGGGGGAGAUUGCAGAAUGGGCGAAAGCCUGAUGCAGCGACGCCGCGUGGGGGAUGAAGGCUUUCGGGUUGUAAACCUCUUUCGGUAGCGAACGGGUAGGUGGAGAAGAAGCGCCGGCUAACUACGUGCCAGCAGCCGCGGUAAUAC